GUCUCCAUAGCUCAAUGGAUAGAGCGUAGGCCUCCGAAGCUUGAGAUGUAGGUUCGAUUCCUACUGGGGACA
rnacentral:tRNA from 1 species